GAUGAACGCUAGCGGCAGGCCUAACACAUGCAAGUCGAGGGGUAGAACACUUCGGUGUUUGAGACCGGCGCACGGGUGCGUAACGCGUAUGCAAUCUACCUUGUACAGGGGAAUAGCCCAGAGAAAUUUGGAUUAAUGCCCCAUAGUAUAUAACCUUCGCAUGUUGAUUAUAUUAAAGUUCCAACGGUACAAGAUGAGCAUGCGUCCCAUUAGUUAGUUGGUAAGGUAACGGCUUACCAAGACGAUGAUGGGUAGGGUCCUGAGAGGGAGAUCCCCCACACUGGUACUGAGACACGGACCAGACUCCUACGGGAGGCAGCAGUGAGGAAUAUUGGUCAAUGGUCGCAAGACUGAACCAGCCAUGCCGCGUGCAGGAAGACGGUCCUAUGGAUUGUAAACUGCUUUUAUACAGGAAGAAACCCUCCACGUGUGGGAGCUUGACGGUACUGUAGGAAUAAGGAUCGGCUAACUCCGUGCCAGCAGCCGCGGUAAAACCCAU
rnacentral:rRNA from 1 species